GUUAGGAGCCUGAUGUUGACUCCUGUGUUCGUUUGCUCAGGCUGCCAACACCGACUGGGGGCUUCAAUAAUGGAAGCUUAUUUUCACACAGUUCUGGAGGCUGGAGUUCCAAGAUCAAGGUUUUGGCAGCAAACUCCAAUGUCAUCUCCUCCAUGAAGCCCUGGCUGCCACUCACAGAGAAGCAGGCUGAGUCCUGCACCAGGAUGCCUGGCUGAGGAGCAGAGUGGCAUAAAAGCAUUUGCUCUUUGUUUGCAGGCCGCUGGGCCCAGGAGGCUGGGUCUGUUCAGCAGUUGCAUCUGUUACACAGUAAAGGAGUCCUAGAGAAGUGCUGCCAAGGGGAACUCAUAAAAAAGCCGCUGCUGGAGACUCAGAUGUGCCCUGCUGAGCGAGGCAGUCUCCUCCUACUUACCGUGCUGCAGUGAGCCGCAGUCACCCGCGGGGGAGUUGAAGAAUAAGUUGAAUAUGGUUGAACACGGUGGCAUCAUACUGCUCAGCCAUCUCUGGGGUUAACUGCAGAUGAGAUAAUUCCUGUAUAACUCCUGGAUCCUCUAGGGCAUUCUGCCACUGUAUCCACACUUCAUGGUACAAGGGCGAAUGGACAGAUCUCCAGCUUCCAAGUGAAACGUGAAGGCGACUCGACAAGGAUUUCUGUUAGGACAAUAGUUUUGCUUCAUGAAGACCAGGAAGGCUUGAACUCAGGACAAUGGGUAUCUUGAAUUUACUCAGUUCCCAUCUCUUAAGUUAUUAAACAUUAUUUCCCACCUGUCUUGUGUAUUUUUGCUUGAUCCCUAUAAUAUGGGGGCAGGCAUAAUUUUGUAUAACCCCUGUAAGACGUGUGCCAGGUACAAUUGGCCCUAUUUCCUAUGUGGGGAAACUGAGACUCAGAGCAGAGAAGCGACUCUCCUAAGUCACACGUUGUAUUGCUGGCAGAGUCUCGGGCAGGAGUCGUGCCUCCUGAUUUCCAGGUACAUGCUGCUUUUGCUAGAACCAAUCUAUUAAAGAACCAAGACUCUUUUAUUUGGAAUUAAUGAGGGAUUCCAAAAAUAGUGUUAGCAGUGCUUAACAAAUUUGAAAGAGCAAAGGAACUGAAGCCAGAGAAGACUGAGAUAGGGGAGCUGUUUCAUUGUAUCAAUUUCUAUUCACUUUGUUAAUAAUUGAUGCCACAUUUACUCAUUGUUAUAUAUUAAAAAUACUUGAUUUGCUACAAGGUAAAAAUGACCCAUUGACUUUGUCUCUCAACCUACGCUAACCCUAAAUGAGAAUCUCAUUGUGACCACGAUUUUGCAAAAUUGAUUAAAUGGAAAUAAAUGCAUUCAAGUGUCAAAGGCUGCAUUGGGAAUGGUUGCUAAUGAGCUUGACCUUUCAGAGCUUCCUGGCUGGGUGCACAGUAGGUGUUCAAUGAGUACUGAUGGAUGUCUUGACUGACUGAGAUUUCGGUUAGCCUUCCAUCCCCGGGAGCAUGGUGCCUCUAAUGUGUUAGAUGGCAUCAUGUUCCAAAAAUGAAUCGAUCUAUAAAUUUGAAGACUAAUUUGGAAACAUUUUAACCUUACUAAACAGAAUAGUAUGAUAAAACCUAGGUACCCUACGCCAGCUUCAAAUCAAUAUUCUGCUGUUUUUGUUUACUUCCCUUAACACACAUCACUGCCUCCCCACCCCCAACACACACACACUUUUUUGUUUUUGAGACAGAGUCUCGCUCUGUCACCGAGGCUGGGGUGUAGUGGCGCCAUCUCGGCUCACUGCAAGCUCCGCCUCCUGGGUUCAUGCCAUUCUCCUGUCUCGGCCUCCCAGUCUCCAGAGUAGCUGGGACUUCAGGUGUCCACUUUUUUUUUUUUUUUUUGGCUGAAGUACCAUAAAGGAAAUUUCAAACAUUGUGUCAUUCACCUGUGAAUAAAUCUGUAUGUACCUCCAAUAGAUAGACUAAAAAAACCACAACCUUAUCACCACAACACAAUUAGCCAUUGUUUCUUAAUAUCAUAGGAGGCCUCUUCCAUGCUGAAUGCUCCAU
rnacentral:lncRNA from 1 species